UCUUCGAAAGCAUUGUCAGUAAGUAAUUAUUGUAAAAUUUGUAAAUUGAGAAUAUUUUCUUUAUUACCUAUGCUAUAUUGGUAAUAAUUAUUUUUUAUUUUAUACACCAAUUGCUCAACUGGUAACUCUGCUCUGUCAGCCUUUAUAUUGUGUAUAUAUUUUGUAUUCUUUUUACUAAAAACAAUUUAUUUGUGUAUUGUUUUUGAUAGUUUCACUCUCCUUUGAAGCAUAUUGGAGUAAACAUCAGGAGUUUUGAAAACUACACCCUGGCUCCAGUCUUUAUUUGAAGGGAGUUUGGCUUGCUGCUAAAUUGUGUUCACACAUAUGGAAACACACAAGGAGAGCAGUACAGUGAAAUGACAAAUCAGCUGGCUGAACAUCUUGGCAGAAGCGUACAGUAGCAAGUAGUGAGCAUCAUGGCUGAAAGGUAUCUAAAAGACACCACGUUAGGAAAGAUACAAAGUAAAAGUAACAGAGCAUCUGACACAUCCUCUAAAAGUUCCAUAAGAACUUCAAGAUCCUCAAGAUCUUCAGUUGGUGUUGCUGCAGCACGUGCUAGAGCUAAGGCAGAGGCAGCACGUGCACGAGUUACCUUUUCAGAGAGAGAAAUUGCAAUUAAAGUGGACUCAGCCAGACUACAAGCUAAUUUGGAAGCCCUACAUCUGGAAAAAGAGGCUGCAGCUGCUAGUGCAGAAGCGGAUAUAUUAGAAGCAGCAGCAGAGUUUGAGGAUGAGGAGCCAUAUGAAAGGAAAAGUCACUCUUCAUCAGCACAAAGCACAAAAAAACGUGUUUGUGAUUAUGUCAGGGAUCAAGCUACAUAUCUCAGUGAGCAGGCCGACUUAACCGCUGAUCAGUCUCAUGAUUGCAAAUCUGAACCAGACCAAGUGACGGAUCAGAACCAGUUUACCUCUCAAACUGAACCAAAUAUAGUGCAUGUGAAUGAUGACCAGUAUGUCGUACUUGAUGCAUGUUCUACAUCUCCAUCUCUAAGAGUGCCAAAACUGCAACAAGUAAAACUCACAAGAAACAUGAAAAAAGAGUCAAUAGAAAUACCAGUCAGCAAUAAAUGGCAGCAACAGGCUAAGUGCAGUGGUGUAUCCAGAUCUUUGCCACAACACUCAGAAACUUCAGGCAUGAUGGACCUAGUGAAAUAUCUUGCACGUCGUGAGCUGGUGAGCAGUGGUUUAACACGCUUUGAUGAUCACCCUGAAAGUUACAGAGCCUGGAGGUCCUCUUUUAUCAACACAAUCAAAGACUUGGGUCUUACGGCCAGUGAGGAGCUAGACUUGUUGUCAAAGUGGCUUGGUAAAGAAUCUUCAGAAUACGUAAGACGUCUCAGGGCAGUUCACAUAGGAAACCCAGACACAGCCUUGAAAAUGGUCUGGAACAGACUUGAUGAAUGCUACAGCUCACCUGAAGUAAUCGAAAGUGCGUUGUUUAAGAAGUUAGACAGUUUUCCCAGGAUUUCAGGUAAAGACAACCUCAAAUUAAGAGAGCUAGGAGAUCUUUUAAUGGAGCUUCUCUCAGCCAAAGAUGACGGCUAUCUACCAGGUUUAGCCUACUUAGACACUGCUCGCGGCAUCAGGCCCAUCGUUGAAAAACUGCCAUAUACCUUACAAGAGAAAUGGAUUUCUCAAGGCUCAAAGUUCAAAGAAGAAUUUGGUGUCACUUAUCCUCCUUUCUCGUUCUUUACUCAGUUCAUUUGCAAUCAUGCUAAAACACGUAAUGAUCCCAGCUUUGCCUUUUCUAGUAGUUGCCGCCCACAGUAUGAAGGGCUCACUGUAAACCGCUCUAACUUCAAGACGCCAGUGUUGGUGCACAAAACUGAAAUCUCUCAUAGUGCAUUUCAAGACAAAAUGCCUUCUAAAGAUGAUCCAGCCAAAUACUGUCCUAUACACAACAAACCUCACCCUUUAAGGAAAUGUCGAGGCUUCAGAUUGAAAACCAUCGAUGAGCGAAAAGCAUACCUAAAAGACCAAGGGAUCUGCUUUAGGUGCUGCUCUUCAUCAUCACACUUUGCUCGCGAUUGCAAAGUCAUUCUAAAAUGUGAUGAGUGCAACAGUGACAGUCACAACUCAGCUCUGCAUCCUGGUCCACCCUCAUGGACACCUAAAAUCCGAAGUCCUCCAUUACAGCAUGGCGGGGAGGAUGCAGGAGAAAAUCCAACAACACAAGAAGUGAGCUCCCUUUGCACUGAAGUUUGUCAUGGUCUUUCCACAAAAUCUUGUUCCAAAAUAUGUCUCGUCAAGGUGUUUCCUGUGGGGCAUCCUGAGAAUGCAGUAAAGAUGUAUGCUAUACUCGACGAUCAGAGCAACAGAUCUCUGGCCAGGUCAAGAUUUUUUGACAUAUUCAACAUCAAUAGUAAAGCAACUCCUUACAGCCUAAAGACAUGUGCUGGGUUGAUUGAGUGCUUAGGAAGGAAAGCAAAUGGCUAUCAGAUUGAAGCGGCAAAUGGUGGAAUCAGUCUUGCGCUUCCAACACUAAUUGAAUGUGAUGAAAUACCCAACAACCGUGAUGAAAUUCCAACACCUGAAGCUGCUCUCCAUCAACUUCACCUCAAGCAUAUUGCAUCUGAAAUACCAGNNNNNNNNNNNNNNNNNNNNNNNNNNNNNNNNNNNNNNNNNNNNNNNNNNNNNNNNNNNNNNNNNNNNNNNNNNNNNNNNNN
ensembl:lncRNA